rnacentral:rRNA from 1 species
UACGUAGGGUGCAAGCGUUGUCCGGAAUUACUGGGCGUAAAGAGCUCGUAGGUGGUUUGUCGCGUCGUCUGUGAAAUUCCGGGGCUUAACUCCGGGCGUGCAGGCGAUACGGGCAUAACUUGAGUGCUGUAGGGGAGACUGGAAUUCCUGGUGUAGCGGUGAAAUGCGCAGAUAUCAGGAGGAACACCGAUGGCGAAGGCAGAUCUCUGGGCCGUAACUGACGCUGAGGAGCGAAAGCAUGGGGAGCGAACAGG